rnacentral:rRNA from 1 species
UGGCGGACGGGUGAGUAACGCGUGGGUAACCUGCCCUACACAGGGGGAUAACACUUAGAAAUAGGUGCUAAUACCGCAUGAGCGCACAGGACCGCAUGGUCGAGUGUGAAAAACUGAGGUGGUGUAAGAUGGACCCGCGUCUGAUUAGCUAGUUGGUGAGGUAACGGCCCACCAAGGCGACGAUCAGUAGCCGGCCUGAGAGGGUGGACGGCCACAUUAGGACUGAGACACGGCCCAAACUCCUACGGGAGGCAGCAG